rnacentral:tRNA from 1 species
GUGGUGGUAGUGGAGUGGUUAAGGGGCUGGGCUAGCACCUGAGAAGUUGUGGGUUCAAUUCCCAGCCCCCACC